rnacentral:rRNA from 1 species
CGAGACCGAUAGCGAACAAGUACCGUGAGUGAAAGUUGAAAAGAACUUUGAAGAGAGAGUUCAAGAGUACGUGAAACCGUUCAGGGGUAAACCUAAGAAACCCAAAAGAUCGAACGGGGAGAUUCAUCGUCAGCGGCGCUGGCUUCGCGUCGGUGGGCGAUGUCCCGCGGAGUCCUCGCGGCUCGCGCGCGGGCACGCUACCGUGCGCCGAUGUCCGGCUGUCGUCGUCGUGCACUUCUCCCCAAGUAGAACGUCGCGACCCGGUAGAGGUCNGACUACGGCCCGGGUGCGGUGACUGUCGCGUCGCCGGUAAAACAGCACGCGACAAACCCUCGGCUCGU